GAGUAUUGAAAUGGGUUGUCGCUGGCCUCUCGGGGCAUGUGCACACUCAUCACUCUUCCACUCACACCUGUGCAUCUUUGUAGUCUAUUUCUCCUAUAUGUCUGGAGGCCAUUUGCGUGGUCAAUAGUCUGGGGGGGAAUCGUCUACUAUUUUAUACAUACGCUUCAGUUUAGAAUGUCAUUACUUGCUAUAAAACGCAUUUAAAUACAACUUUCAACAACGGAUCUCUUGGCUCU
rnacentral:misc_RNA from 1 species